rnacentral:rRNA from 1 species
CCUACGGGAGGCAGCAGUGAGGAAUAUUGGUCAAUGGACGCAAGUCUGAACCAGCCAUGCCGCGUGCAGGAAGACGGCUCUAUGAGUUGUAAACUGCUUUUGUACGAGGGUAAACGCAGAUACGCGUAUCUGUCUGAAAGUAUCGUACGAAUAAGGAUCGGCUAACUCCGUGCCAGCAGCCGCGGUAAUACGGAGGAUUCAAGCGUUAUCCGGAUUUAAUGGGUUUAAAGGGUGUGUAGGCGGUCGGAUAAGUUAGAGGUGAAAUCCCGAGGCUCAACUUCGGAAUUGCCACUGAUACUGUUCGGCUAGAGAGUAGUUGCGGUAGGCGGAAUGGAUGGUGUAGCGGUGAAAUGCUUAGAGAUCAUACAGAACACCGAUUGCGAAGGCAGCUUACCAAGCUACUUCUGACGUUGAGGCACGAAAGCGGGGGGAGCAAACAGGAUUAGAUACCCCUGGUAGUC